rnacentral:lncRNA from 12 species
UUACCUGCAUUUUGCCAGCGAUGGGUUCUACCUUCUUCGCUCCAGACACAGCGAUUGUCGCAAAGUACUGGAUCACGCGUUUGGUGUUGACAGUCUUUCCUGCACCAGAUUCUCCACUGAGUUUACAGUUAAGAGAGAAGAUUGGAAAGCUAAUAGAGACAUUUAAGACUGAUGCUCACAUCAAAGAUCUCAAAUCCAGCGAUGUCCAGCACACCAAUGAAGAACUGUCUAGGCUGCUUGGUGUCCAACAUCUCAUUGAUACGGACGACCAUCCACAAGAACAUUUUCUCAUAGAUAGACUUGCAGAGAGCUGAGACUGCGUUGUUCACCUGAGAAACAGUAGUAGGUAAAUCAUCACCUGUGGUACUGUCUGGCCUUUGGUCACCAUCUCAUUCCCGACCUUCACUCUGGGGAAGCACAGAGCUUUCAGCAUGUCAGCGGAGUUGAUGCCCAAGAG